GACGAACGCUGGCGGCGUGCUUAACACAUGCAAGUCGAACGGAAAGGCCUGCUUUCCCUUGUGGAUUGCGGGUACUCGAGUGGCGAACGGGUGAGUAACACGUGAGUGAUCUGCCCCCAACUUGGGUAUAAGCCUGGGAAACUGGGUCUAAUUCCCGAUAGGACUGCAGGGUGGUGCCUGUGGUGGAAAACGAUUUUCUAGUGGUUGGGGAUGCGCUCGCGGCCUAUCAGCUUGUUGGUGGGGUAAUGGCCUACCAAGGCGGCGACGGGUAGCCGGCCUGAGAGGGUGGACGGCCACAUUGGGACGGGGAUACGGCCCAGACUCCUACGGGAGGAAGAAGUGGGGAAUAUUGCACAAUGGGCGGAAGCCUGAUGCAGCGACGCCGGGUGGGGGAUGACGGGCUUCGGGUUGUAAACUCCUUUCGACCGCGAGGAAGCCACCUGGUUGGAAGGGUGGUGACGGUAGUGGUAGAAGAAGCACCGGCUAACUACGUG
rnacentral:rRNA from 1 species